GAAGGACUGGAGCUUGGAGGCGUGUUGAGAAAUUUGGAAGACCUGCAUUCUGAAGUAAGGGAGACUUCCUUCCCCAUAGCAUUUAAGGACUGAGGCAGGCCCUUCGACCUCUGCUGGACAGAAAAAAGGAACUAACAUCCUGGGGGAGCACACUGUCACCAGCGUACAAGGAGGGAGAGAGAGUCAGGAAUCAAGUGACGCUGGACAUUUUUGGUAAAGCUGAUGGAGCAGCUUUCUUAUGAAAGGGAGAAGAAAAACAGAGAGCCUGACCAGCCUGAGACAAGUUUGGUAGCCCAGUUACUGGAGCAAGAAUAGAGACUGAGGGAAGAAGACAGCAUGCAGCAGCAGGAAUUGUUUCAGAGGUUGUUCAAUCUCAUGGCAACCAGGCUGCAGGCUCUAUCGUGAGCUGCAGCACCAGCUCUAUACUCCAAGUCCGCUCUCCACUAUCAUGUCCUAUAGCCUAUGCAGCCUUUUGGCAGUUCUGGAAUUGGCUGGUCCAUAGCCCAGGC